rnacentral:rRNA from 1 species
GACGAACGCUGGCGGCGUGCUUAACACAUGCAAGUCGAACGGAAAGGCCCUGCUUUUGUGGGGUGCUCGAGUGGCGAACGGGUGAGUAACACGUGAGUAACCUGCCCUUGACUUUGGGAUAACUUCAGGAAACUGGGGCUAAUACCGGAUAGGAGCUCCUGCUGCAUGGUGGGGGUUGGAAAGUUUCGGCGGUUGGAGAUGGACUCGCGGCUUAUCAGCUUGUUGGUGGGGUAGUGGCCUACCAAGGCUUUGACGGGUAGCCGGCCUGGGAGGGUGACCGGCCACCAUGGGACUGAGGUACGGCCCAGACUCCUACGGGAGGCAGCAGUGGGGAAUAUUGCACAAUGGGCGGAAGCCUGAUGCAGCAACGCCGCGUGCGGGAUGACGGCCUUCGGGUUGUAAACCGCUUUCGCCUGUGACGAAGCGUGAGUGACGGUAAUGGGUAAAGAAGCACCGGCUAACUACGUG